rnacentral:rRNA from 1 species
CGCGACCCCAGGUCAGGUUAA